rnacentral:rRNA from 1 species
CACUAUCGUUAACUGAAUACAUAGGUUAACGAGGCGAACCGGGGGAACUGAAACAUCUAAGUACCCCGAGGAAAAGAAAUCAACCGAGAUUCCCCCAGUAGCGGCGAGCGAACGGGGAGCAGCCCAGAGUCUGAAUCAGCUUGUGUGUUAGUGGAACGGUCUGGAAAGUCCGACGGUACAGGGUGAUAGUCCCGUACACCAAAAUGCACAGGCUGUGAACUCGAAGAGUAGGGCGGGACACGUGGUAUCCUGUCUGAAUAUGGGGGGACCAUCCUCCAAGGCUAAAUACUCCUGACUGACCGAUAGUGAACCAGUACCGUGAGGGAAAGGCGAAAAGAACCCCGGCGAGGGGAGUGAAAAAGAACCUGAAACCGUGUACGUACAAGCAGUGGGAGCACCUUCGGGUGUGACUGCGUACCUUUUGUAUAAUGGGUCAGCGACUUAUAUUCUGUAGCAAGGUUAACCGUAUAGGGGAGCCGCAGGGAAACCGAGUCUUAACUGGGCGUUAAGUUGCAGGGUAUAGACCCGAAACCCGGUGAUCUAGCCAUGGGCAGGUUGAAGGUUGGGUAACACUAACUGGAGGACCGAACCGACUAAUGUUGAAAAAUUAGCGGAUGACUUGUGGCUGGGGGUGAAAGGCCAAUCAAACCGGGAGAUAGCUGGUUCUCCCCGAAAGCUAUUUAGGUAGCGCCUCGUGAAUUCAUCUUCGGGGGUAGAGCACUGUUUCGGCUAGGGGGUCAUCCCGACUUACCAACCCGAUGCAAACUACGAAUACCGAAGAAUGUUAUCACGGGAGACACACGGCGGGUGCUAACGUCCGUCGUGAAGAGGGAAACAACCCAGACCGCCAGCUAAGGUCCCAAAGUCAUGGUUAAGUGGGAAACGAUGUGGGAAGGCACAGACAGCCAGGAUGUUGGCUUAGAAGCAGCCAUCAUUUAAAGAAAGCGUAAUAGCUCACUGGUCGAGUCGGCCUGCGCGGAAGAUGUAACGGGGCUAAACCAUGCACCGAAGCUGCGGCAGCGACACUAUGUGUUGUUGGGUAGGGGAGCGUUCUGUAAGCCUGCGAAGGUGACCUGUGAGGGUUGCUGGAGGUAUCAGAAGUGCGAAUGCUGACAUAAGUAACGAUAAAGCGGGUGAAAAGCCCGCUCGCCGGAAGACCAAGGGUUCCUGUCCAACGUUAAUCGGGGCAGGGUGAGUCGACCCCUAAGGCGAGGCCGAAAGGCGUAGUCGAUGGGAAACAGGUUAAUAUUCCUGUACUUGGUGUUACUGCGAAGGGGGGACGGAGAAGGCUAUGUUAGCCGGGCGACGGUUGUCCCGGUUUAAGCAUGUAGGCUGGUUGUCCAGGCAAAUCCGGAUAAUCAAGGCUGAGGUGUGAUGACGAGGCACUACGGUGCUGAAGUAACAAAUGCCCUGCUUCCAGGAAAAGCCUCUAAGCAUCAGGUAACAUCAAAUCGUACCCCAAACCGACACAGGUGGUCAGGUAGAGAAUACCAAGGCGCUUGAGAGAACUCGGGUGAAGGAACUAGGCAAAAUGGUGCCGUAACUUCGGGAGAAGGCACGCUGGUGUGUAGGUGAAGCCCCUGCGGGUGGAGCUGAGACCAGUCGAAGAUACCAGCUGGCUGCAACUGUUUAUUAAAAACACAGCACUGUGCAAACACGAAAGUGGACGUAUACGGUGUGACGCCUGCCCGGUGCCGGAAGGUUAAUUGAUGGGGUUAUCCGUAAGGAGAAGCUCUUGAUCGAAGCCCCGGUAAACGGCGGCCGUAACUAUAACGGUCCUAAGGUAGCGAAAUUCCUUGUCGGGUAAGUUCCGACCUGCACGAAUGGCGUAAUGAUGGCCAGGCUGUCUCCACCCGAGACUCAGUGAAAUUGAACUCGCUGUGAAGAUGCAGUGUACCCGCGGCAAGACGGAAAGACCCCGUGAACCUUUACUAUAGCUUGACACUGAACAUUGAGCCUUGAUGUGUAGGAUAGGUGGGAGGCUUUGAAGCGUGGACGCCAGUCUGCGUGGAGCCAACCUUGAAAUACCACCCUUUAAUGUUUGAUGUUCUAACGUUGGCCCCUGACCGGGGUUGCGGACAGUGUCUGGUGGGUAGUUUGACUGGGGCGGUCUCCUCCCAAAGCGUAACGGAGGAGCACGAAGGUUAGCUAAUCCUGGUCGGACAUCAGGAGGUUAGUGCAAUGGCAUAAGCUAGCUUGACUGCGAGCGUGACGGCGCGAGCAGGUGCGAAAGCAGGUCAUAGUGAUCCGGUGGUUCUGAAUGGAAGGGCCAUCGCUCAACGGAUAAAAGGUACUCCGGGGAUAACAGGCUGAUACCGCCCAAGAGUUCAUAUCGACGGCGGUGUUUGGCACCUCGAUGUCGGCUCAUCACAUCCUGGGGCUGAAGUAGGUCCCAAGGGUAUGGCUGUUCGCCAUUUAAAGUGGUACGCGAGCUGGGUUUAGAACGUCGUGAGACAGUUCGGUCCCUAUCUGCCGUGGGCGCUGGAGAAUUGAGGGGGGCUGCUCCUAGUACGAGAGGACCGGAGUGGACGCAUCACUGGUGUUCGGGUUGUCAUGCCAAUGGCACUGCCCGGUAGCUAAAUGCGGAAGAGAUAAGUGCUGAAAGCAUCUAAGCACGAAACUUGCCCCGAGAUGAGUUCUCCCUGAGACUUUAAGUCUCCUGAAGGAACGUUGAAGACGACGACGUUGAUAGGCCGGGUGUGUAAGCGCAGCGAUGCGUUGAGCUAACCGGUACUAAUGAACCGUGAGGCUUAACCUUACAACGCCGAAG